rnacentral:rRNA from 1 species
UACGUAGGGUGCAAGCGUUGUCCGGAAUUAUUGGGCGUAAAGAGCUCGUAGGCGGUCUGUCGCGUCGGCUGUGAAAACUCGGGGCUCAACUCCGAGCUUGCAGUCGAUACGGGCAGGCUAGAGUUCGGCAGGGGAGACUGGAAUUCCUGGUGUAGCGGUGAAAUGCGCAGAUAUCAGGAGGAACACCGGUGGCGAAGGCGGGUCUCUGGGCCGAUAUUGACGCUGAGGAGCGAAAGCGUGGGGAGCGAACAGG